rnacentral:pre_miRNA from 1 species
UACGUACUCCCUCCGUCCGAAAAUACUUGUCAUUGAAAUAGAUGUAUCUAGAUGUAUUUUAGUUCUAAAUACAUCCAUUUUGAUGAUAAGUAUUUCCGGACAGAGGGAGUAUGUU